AGCCUUCAGCUUCCAGGGAGAAGAGAAACGAUUUAUUUCCCGUAACCCUUACGUUAAUUUCCAACUCCCAUAACUUCUCCGUCCGAGCUCCAAUCGCCGCACCGUUUGCGGCCACGCGUUCACCGCGUCGAGCUCUACGUUUCUACCGAAACAAUUUCAUAGGAUCCAAUUAGCUUGAGGGAAACGUUCACUCUUGCUUAUGUGAAGCUUGGGUAAGAUUGUGAAUAAAUAAUUGGAGCUUGAAAUUGUGAAUAUUGGAACUUGGAGGAAGCUGAUUAGUUGAAUUUUGAAGGGGCUGCCUUGGUUUUAAAUAAUUUGCUUUGGUCGUUACGUGGAAAUCGGCCAAGAUGCAGGUCGAAAGGCAUCUCGUUAGGCGUCUGGACUCUUGAGGCGGAGUGGUUACUGGGAUAUUUUGUUAUGCUAUGAUGUAUAUAUAUGUACUUAGUUUUCUCUCCGCAUGACUUAUUUUUUUUUAUCCUCUUAGAGGUUUAUGGAGAGGCAGGAUUGUGUAUAUGUACUUUUGGGUUUUGGAUAUGUAUGUAUAUAUGUGUAAAUAUUCUCCGGCCAGUCUUGACUUCGCAGGCUGAGUUAGGAGCUUGGUAUUUUGUAUCUUUGGCACUCUAUUCCCACUUCUAUUAUCUUGUGUUUAAUA